rnacentral:lncRNA from 1 species
CUCCCUAGUCCUGUGCCAACAACCAUAAAAACCUGUACAAGUCAACGCCACCGCGUCGUUGACAGUGUCUUAAUGUCCUCAUCACGCAUCUGACAAGCCACGAUAGCCAUUCCACAUGGUGGAAUGCACAUCAUCCGCGGCAGAGCCCAUAUCAGCUGGCGUGUUUGGGCAAAUGCACCCCACGACCUGCUUAUCCACACCUCAACCAAACACGAAACCUGCAGGCAGGCUUGCGAAUGCCAAAGCAACUGCAAUGUGCACACAGCUGCAACUGGCUAUCCUGACAUGAAUGUACACCAUAAUUCUAUAAUGCUGGAAAGGCUGACAACAUACAUGCAACACUUGCAAAUGCCCUGAAUCUACAUCCUGCAAAGCAGAAGGCAACUAGCAGCACUAUCAGGUAAGACCUGCCAGGCUUACUGUAGCAGUCGCUCACCUGACGGGACGACUGACAGCGUGGAAGCGUGGAGUUGUUAGUCCUCACCGAUGUAGGAAGAAGUCCAACCAGGCGGCAAGCACUAGCGUACAUAGACGUGUACAUAACGAUUAGAGACGGCGGCAGCGGAGUCUUGAACUCCGAACACCUAGUAAUGUGAUACGUCAGUGUCUGGCCAGAACACCCCGCCCGGGUAGCUUAUAUCUCGGCCUACCUGCUGGAUAAUCCCUACUACGGACUUUGCCGUACUAGGAUAAUGUUGGUGGGGCCCGGGGCCCCAUCCCGUUAGAUUCGCUUACGAACAGCUGCCCAGUUCGCGACAUGUGACGAAACUCGGAACAUGUACGAAACUUGAGUCAAAUCGUUUAACAAAUUAACAGUUAUUGUUAAAAGUAAUCGUUAAAAUAUUCUA